rnacentral:lncRNA from 1 species
UUGAGCAGUAGGAGUUUUGGAGCAUUUGGCUCGGCAUGAGUUGUUCUCUUGCUAGUGUUCGGGAGUGAUGUUGUGUGCUAAUUGUGUUGGUUGGCUUAUCAUGGCGUUUUUCGGAACUUGGCCAAGGUGGAGAUUGUUGAAUUAAUGGCCACAAGUGUCCAAAAAAAACUUUCGGCUAAUAAACAAACCAAAAUAAAAAAAGGUGAAAGACAUCAUGAUGAGGAGGCAUCAUGAUUAUGUUUGUUGAAAAGAAAAGUUGAUGGUCAUGAUGAUGUUUUUGAAUUUUUUAUUGGGUGAUGAUGAUGGAUGAAUGUUAGUAUACGGAAGUGAGAAAGAGAGAGGAAUGAUAGAGCACCAUUUUCUGUUUUGUAGUCCAUCUUUGAGAGAGCAAAGAGAGCUGCAGAGAGCAGAAAACUGAG